rnacentral:rRNA from 1 species
GACGAACGCUGGCGGCGUGCUUAACACAUGCAAGUCGAACGGUAAGGCUCCAGCUUGCUGGGGUACACGAGUGGCGAACGGGUGAGUAACACGUGGGUGACCUGCCCUGCACUUCGGGAUAAGCCUGGGAAACUGGGUCUAAUACCGGAUAGGACCGCACCGUGAGGGUGUGGUGGAAAGUUUUUUCGGUGUGGGAUGGGCCCGCGGCCUAUCAGCUUGUUGGUGGGGUAAUGGCCUACCAAGGCGGCGACGGGUAGCCGGCCUGAGAGGGUGGACGGCCACAUUGGGACUGAGACACGGCCCAGACUCCUACGGGAGGCAGCAGUGGGGAAUAUUGCACAAUGGGCGGAAGCCUGAUGCAGCGACGCCGCGUGGGGGAUGACGGCCUUCGGGUUGUAAACUCCUUUCACCAUCGACGAAGGGUUUCUGACGGUAGAUGGAGAAGAAGCACCGGCUAACUACGUGCCAGCAGCCGCGGUAAUACGUAGGGUGCGAGCGUUGUCCGGAAUUACUGGGCGUAAAGAGCUCGUAGGUGGUUUGUCGCGUCGUCUGUGAAAUUCCGGGGCUUAACUCCGGGCGUGCAGGCGAUACGGGCAUAACUUGAGUACUGUAGGGGAGACUGGAAUUCCUGGUGUAGCGGUGAAAUGCGCAGAUAUCAGGAGGAACACCGGUGGCGAAGGCGGGUCUCUGGGCAGUAACUGACGCUGAGGAGCGAAAGCAUGGGGAGCGAACAGGAUUAGAUACCCUGGUAGUCCAUGCCGUAAACGGUGGGCGCUAGGUGUGGGUUUCCUUCCACGGGAUCCGUGCCGUAGCUAACGCAUUAAGCGCCCCGCCUGGGGAGUACGGCCGCAAGGCUAAAACUCAAAGGAAUUGACGGGGGCCCGCACAAGCGGCGGAGCAUGUGGAUUAAUUCGAUGCAACGCGAAGAACCUUACCUGGGCUUGACAUAUACAGGAUCGCGCCAGAGAUGGUGUUUCCCUUGUGGCUUGUAUACAGGUGGUGCAUGGUUGUCGUCAGCUCGUGUCGUGAGAUGUUGGGUUAAGUCCCGCAACGAGCGCAACCCUUGUCUUAUGUUGCCAGCACGUUGUGGUGGGGACUCGUAAGAAACUGCCGGGGUUAACUCGGAGGAAGGUGGGGAUGACGUCAAAUCAUCAUGCCCCUUAUGUCCAGGGCUUCACACAUGCUACAAUGGUCGGUACAGUGGGUUGCCAGUCCGUGAGGGCGAGCUAAUCCCGCAAAGCCGGUCUCAGUUCGGAUCGGGGUCUGCAACUCGACCCCGUGAAGUCGGAGUCGCUAGUAAUCGCAGAUCAGCAACGCUGCGGUGAAUACGUUCCCGGGCCUUGUACACACCGCCCGUCACGUCAUGAAAGUCGGUAACACCCGAAGCCAGUGGCCUAACACAUUUUGUGGGGGAGCUGUCGAAGGUGGGAUUGGCGAUUGGGACGAAGUCGUAACAAGGUAGCCGUACCGGAAGGUGCGGCUGGAUCACCUCCUUUCUAAGGAGAUUAUUUUUUCUUUGUGUCAUGUGUCAUCGUGUUGGUGGCGUGUGGCUAUUUUUUGUUUUUUGGGUGGAACACCUGCUGGUCAGACUGCUUGAGUGAUGGUGGUCUGCGCGCGUGUAAGUGAUGAUUAAACGUUUGUGGUGCUUUCCUUUUUUUGUGUUGGUUGGUUGUUGGUGCGCUGUUGGGUGUCUGGGAUGACACAUGUUGUUGUUCCUGUUUACAGGUUGCUGCGUGCUGCGGGCAGGCUGCUUUUGUGGUGGUUUGUGUGUGGUGUGUGGGUGUUGUGUGAGAACUGGAUAGUGGACGCGAGCAUCUUGUUUUUCUGUAAGUUCGAUUUUGUCAAGCAGUUUUUCUGUUUGUGAUUGUUCUUAGUUAUUUGUUUGUGUGUUGUGUUGUAAGGGCGCAUGGUGGAUGCCUUGGCAUAGUAGGCCGAUGAAGGACGUGAGAGGCUGCGAUAGGCCUCGGGGAGCUGCCAACUAAGCGUUGAUCCGAGGGUGUCCGAAUGGGGAAACCUGGCCGUCGUUGUGGGCGGUCGCCGUUAGAUGAAUUCAUAGUCUAAUUGGUGGUUACGCGGGGAAGUGAAACAUCUCAGUACCCGUAGGAGUAGAAAACAAUUGUGAUUCCGUUAGUAGUGGCGAACGAACGUGGAUGAGGCUAAACCGCGUGCGUGUGAUACCUGGCAGGGUUUGCGUGCGUGGGGUUGUGGGGAUGCAUUGUGCAGGGUCUGCUAGUCCUGCGUUGUUUGGUGUGGGUGUAGCGGAAGUGGAUUGGAAUGUCCUGCCGUAGACGGUGAGAGUCCGGUACGUGAAACAUCCGUGCGUGCAAUUGGUGUGUUGCCCGAGUAGCAGCGGGCUCGUGGAAUCUGCUGUGAAUCUGCCGGGACCACCCGGUAAGCCUAAAUACCUGCUUAUGACCGAUAGCGGAUU